rnacentral:tRNA from 1 species
GUUUGGAUAGCUUAGGGGUAGAGCGAAAGACUGAAAAUCUUUAGGUCGGCGGUUCGAAUCCGCCUCCAAACA